UUAGCAUAUCAAUAAGCGGAGGAAAAGAACCAACAGGGAUUGCCCUAGUAACGGCGAGUGAAGCGGCAACAGCUCAAAUUUGAAAUCUGGCUCUCGGGCCCGAGUUGUAAUUUGUAGAGGAUACUUUUGAUGCGGUGCCUUCCGAGUUCCCUGGAACGGGACGCCAUAGAGGGUGAGAGCCCCGUCUGGUUGGAUGCCAAAUCUCUGUAAAGUUCCUUCAACGAGUCGAGUAGUUUGGGAAUGCUGCUCUAAAUGGGAGGUAUAUGUCUUCUAAAGCUAAAUACCGGCCAGAGACCGAUAGCGCACAAGUAGAGUGAUCGAAAGAUGAAAAGCACUUUGAAAAGAGAGUUAAAAAGUACGUGAAAUUGUUGAAAGGGAAGCGUUUAUGACCAGACUUGGGCUUGGUUAAUCAUCUGGGGUUCUCCCCAGUGCACUUUUCCAGUCCAGGCCAGCAUCAGUUUUCCCCGGGGGAUAAAGACGGCGGGAAUGUGGCUCUCUUCGGGGAGUGUUAUAGCCCACCGUGUAAUACCCUGGGGGGGACUGAGGUUCGCGCAUCUGCAAGGAUGCUGGCGUAAUGGUCAUCAACGACCCGUCUUGAAACACGGACCAAGGAGUCGUCUUCGUAUGCGAGUGUUCGGGUGUCAAACCCCUACGCGUAAUGAAAGUGAACGCAGGUGAGAGCUUCGGCGCAUCAUCGACCGAUCCUGAUGUUCUCGGAUGGAUUUGAGUAAGAGCAUACGGGGCCGGACCCGAAAGAAGGUGAACUAUGCCUGUAUAGGGUGAAGCCAGAGGAAACUCUGGUGGAGGCUCGCAGCGGUUCUGACGUGCAAAUCGAUCGUCAAAUAUGGGCAUGGGGGCGAAAGACUAAUCGAACCUUUCUAGUAGCUGGUUUCCGCCAAAUU
rnacentral:rRNA from 1 species